rnacentral:rRNA from 1 species
UACGGAGGGGGCGAGCGUUAUUCGGAAUUACUGGGCGUAAAGCGCGCGCAGGUGGCACGGUAAGUGGCAGGUGAAAGCCCUCGGCUCAACCGAGGAACCGCCUGCCAAACUACUGCGCUUGAGGCCGGGAGGGGAGAGUGGAAUUCCUGGUGUAGCGGUGAAAUGCGUAGAUACCAGGAGGAACACCGGUGGCGAAGGCGACUCUCUGGACCGGUUCUGACGCUCAUGCGCGAAAGCGUGGGGAGCAAACAGG